rnacentral:rRNA from 1 species
GACGAAGGGGGCUAGCGUUGUUCGGAAUUACUGGGCGUAAAGCGCGUGUAGGCGGUUGUUCAAGUCGGGUGUGAAAGCCUUGAGCUCAACUCAAGAAAUGCACUCGAUACUGGAUGACUAGAGGACCGGAGAGGUGAGUGGAACUCCGAGUGUAGAGGUGAAAUUCGUAGAUAUUCGCAAGAACACCAGUGGCGAAGGCGGCUCACUGGCCCGGUACUGACGCUGGAGGUGCGAAAGCGUGGGUAGCAAACAGG